GACGAACGCUGGCGGCGUGCUUAACACAUGCAAGUCGAACGGAAAGGCCCUGCUUUUGUGGGGUGCUCGAGUGGCGAACGGGUGAGUAACACGUGAGUAACCUGCCCUUGACUUUGGGAUAACUUCAGGAAACUGGGGCUAAUACCGGAUAGGAGCUCCUGCUGCAUGGUGGGGGUUGGAAAGUUUCGGCGGUUGGGGAUGGACUCGCGGCUUAUCAGCUUGUUGGUGGGGUAGUGGCUUACCAAGGCUUUGACGGGUAGCCGGCCUGAGAGGGUGACCGGCCACCAUGGGCCUGAGGUACGGGCCAGAAUCCUACGGGAGGCAGCAGUGGGGAAUAUUGCACAAUGGGCGGAAGCCUGAUGCAGCAACGCCGCGUGCGGGAUGACGGCCUUCGGGUUGUAAACCGCUUUCGCCUGUGACGAAGCGCGAGUGACGGUAAUGGGUAAAGAAGCACCGGCUAACUACGUG
rnacentral:rRNA from 1 species